UACGGAGGAUCCAAGCGUUAUCCGGAAUCAUUGGGUUUAAAGGGUCCGUAGGCGGACAAUUAAGUCAGUGGUGAAAGUCUUCCGCUUAACUGUAGAACUGCCAUUGAUACUGUUGUCCUUGAGUAAUUAUGAAGUGGUUAGAAUAUGUAGUGUAGCGGUGAAAUGCAUAGAUAUUACAUAGAAUACCGAUUGCGAAGGCAGAUCACUAAUAAUUCACUGACGCUGAGGGACGAAAGCGUAGGUAGCGAACAGG
rnacentral:misc_RNA from 1 species